GGGCCCUUAGCUCAGCGGUCAGAGCAGUGCACUCAUAAUGCAUUGGUCGUAGGUUCGAAUCCUACAGGGCCCA
rnacentral:tRNA from 1 species